GUGCAGCAGGCGAGAAUUUUUCUCAAUGGGGGAAACCCUGAAGGAGCGACGCCGCGUGGAGGAUGAAGGCUUUCGGGUUGUAACUCCUGUCAUUUGAGAACAAGUGGGACGCAGUAACUACGCGUCCCUUGAUAGUAUCAGAAGAGGAAGAGACGGCUAACUCUGUGCCAGCAGCCGCGGUAAUACAGAGGUCUCAAGCGUUGUUCGGAUUCAUUGGGCGUAAAGGGUGCGUAGGUGGCGCGCUAAGUCAGGUGUAGAAAUCUCGGGGCUUAACUCCGAAACUGCAUUUGAUACUGGCGUGCUUGAGGACUGGAGAGGAGACUGGAAUUCAUGGUGUAGCAGUGAAAUGCGUAGAGAUCAUGAGGAAGACCAGUGGCGAAGGCGGGUCUCUGGACAGUUCCUGACACUGAGGCACGAAGGCCAGGGGAGCAAACGGGAUUAGAUACCCCUGUA
rnacentral:rRNA from 1 species